rnacentral:rRNA from 1 species
AAUACAUGCAAGUCGAGCGGACAGAAGGGAGCUUGCUCCCGGACGUUAGCGGCGGACGGGUGAGUAACACGUAGGUAACCUGCCCCUUAGACUGGGAUAACUCCGGGAAACCGGAGCUAAUACGGGAUAAUAAAGAGAAUCACCUGAUUCUCUUUUGAAAGACGGUUUCGGCUGUCACUAAGGGAUGGGCCUGCGGCGCAUUAGCUAGUUGGUAAGGUAACGGCUUACCAAGGCGACGAUGCGUAGCCGACCUGAGAGGAUGAUCGGCCACACUGGGACUGAGACACGGCCCAGACUCCUACGGGAGGCAGCAGUAGGGAAUCUUCCGCAAUGGACGAAAGUCUGACGGAGCAACGCCGCGUGAGUGAGGAAGGCCUUCGGGUCGUAAAGCUCUGUUGUGAGGGAAGAACAAGUACCGGGGUAACUACCGGUACCUUGACGGUACCUCACCAGAAAGCCACGGCUAACUACGUGCCAGCAGCCGCGGUAAUACGUAGGUGGCAAGCGUUGUCCGGAAUUAUUGGGCGUAAAGCGCGCGCAGGCGGCUUCUUAAGUCUGAUGUGAAAUCUCGGGGCUCUACCCCGAGCGGCCAUUGGAAACUGGGAAGCUUGAGUGCAGAAGAGGAGAGUGGAAUUCCACGUGUAGCGGUGAAAUGCGUAGAUAUGUGGAGGAACACCAGUGGCGAAGGUGACUCUCUGGUCUGUAACUGACGCUGAGGCGCGAAA